UACGUAGGGGGCUAGCGUUGUCCGGAAUCAUUGGGCGUAAAGAGCGUGUAGGCGGCUUGGUAAGUCCGCUGUGAAAGUCCAGGGCUUAACCCUGGAAAGCCAGUGGAAACUGUCAAGCUAGAGUCCGGAAGAGGUGAGUGGAACUCCUGGUGUAGCGGUGAAAUGCGCAGAUAUCAGGAAGAACACCAAUGGCGAAGGCAGCUCACUGGGACGGUACUGACGCCGAGACGCGAAAGCGUGGGGAGCAAACAGG
rnacentral:rRNA from 1 species